rfam:Bacteroides nordii CL02T12C05 genomic scaffold supercont1.2, whole genome shotgun sequence.
UUAGGUGACUAUAGCAUCAGGGUUCCACCUCUUCCCAUUCCGAACAGAGAAGUUAAGCCUGAUCACGCCGAUGGUACUGCGUAACAGUGGGAGAGUAGGUAGUCGCCGUUU